CACAGCCAGGCGCGACACUUAUUCGCUUUUAAAAUCAUACAAAAUAAUUUGUAUCUCCCUCUUACAAUCCCCUCACCGCAUUCAUUCCCCUUCACGGCCUUCUGCAUUUCUCCAGUUCACGAAUCGGUCUUCGAUCCUUCCGUUCACGUGUCAAAAUUUUGACACAUUCCAAAUUCCGGCACAUAUGAACCCGACACACGGUAGCACAUUCCAGCCAUUGCUAAUCACUCUCAGCAACUGAUCGCGAGCGGGACUUUAUCGCAAUCACAACCUCAUCCCAGAUCGAAAAAUUAUCAAGUCGCAAAUUGUAAAAGUCAAGCUACACCAAGAUCGAUACGAACUGCUAACCUCCCGCGCGAUCACUAAAUUCUCAGGAAAUAAUUAUUCUUACUCAGUAAGUGUAAAAUAAAUUUUUAAAUAUAUAAGCUAUAUACAUUCUUUUAAAAUAAUAUAUACAAAUAGCAAAACAGUUCGAUCAUAUAUAUAUAUGUAUGAUUAUAUAAUAAUAGUUUAUCGCGUAUACAUACUUAACCAAUAUAAUUCAAAAAUAUUUUAUUAAUAAUUUAUUAAUUAUAUUUUGGUACAUUAUCUCAUUUUAAUAAAAAAAAGUGUUAAUUCAUGCCACACAUCUUUAACCUUUAAUCUUAAAUUAUUAUUAUAAUUUUAAUGUUAUAAUUAUAUAAUCUUUUUAUCGUUAUCUGCAAUCUUAUGCAAUCGUGGUCUAUUACUCCGCUUGAAAUUAAAAUACUCACUAUUUAUUUUCUUUUCCGUAGAUCUAUUGAAGAAAAACUGUUUAAUUUAAUAAAAAUAUUUUAAUGUUGUAAUCCAUCGGGUUAAUAUCUUCGCGGGACCACCAAACGUCUCAAUUAUUCUAAUUUUGAUAUGGAUGUAGAACCAAGUACGAGCAACAGAAAAGAUGAAAAAUGUAAUGCAAAUAACCAACGUUUGAUAGCCGAAAGCGGCGGCCGUUGCAUGAGCACACAAGCGAUGCAGUCACUCUACGAUUUCCGACAAAAUAAUUUGCUUUGCGAUGCAGUAUUGAGAUUAGAGGACGGUGGUGUUUUCCCGAUUCACCGAGCUAUACUUUCAGCAUGCAGUACUUAUUUCAGGACAUUAUUCACAACUACAUUGCAUUCUCGUGAGAAAACCGAUGUCCUUCUACCAGGUGUGACGAGCCCGAUGAUGAAUCUUUUGCUGGAAUACGCAUAUUUGCGAUCUAUUGAUGUGAAUCGUGAAAAUGUAUGCGAAUUGUUGACCACGGCGGAUUAUUUAAGUAUUCUGGGUGUACUUGAUCUGUGCUGCGACUAUCUAAGGGAUAAUUUGGCGCCGGAAAAUUGCAUCGGAGUGAUGAGAUUCGCUCGUCAGCAUUUUUGCAAAAAGUUGGAAAAUGAUGCUUAUCGUUUUAUUGUAGGACACUUUGUCGAGGUAUCUCAGAGAAGCGAAGAAAUUUUAUAUUUACCCAUCGAGGAAUUAAAGCCGUUAGUCGGCGCCGAUGAACUAAACGUGAAAAGCGAGCAGACGGUUUGGGAGCUGAUACUGAGAUGGAUAAAUCACGAUCUAGAAUCUAGAAAAGAUUAUAUAGUGGACCUAAUGAAGAAUAUUAGACUCGGUCUCUUAGACACGCAGUUUUUUCUGGAGAAUGUCAAAGAUCAUCCUUACGUCGUGGGCAAUGAUGCGUGUAGACCCAUCAUCAUCGAAACUCUGAAAUUUCUAUACGAUUUGGAGAUGAUCACCCAGAAAGACGGAGAAGUGCCAACACCGGAAAUCGCGCGACCUAGAGUUCCACAUGAGAUUUUGUUCGCCAUCGGUGGAUGGAGCGGUGGCUCGCCAACAAAUUAUAUCGAGACUUAUGAUACGAGAGCAGAUCGAUGGAUUCCGAUCGAAGAAACAGAUCCAACCAGUCCACGAGCUUAUCAUGGACUCGCAGUGAUUGGAUUCAAUAUCUACGUUAUCGGAGGGUUCGACGGGGUCGAUUAUUUCAACAGUUGUCGUUGUUUCAACGCGGUGACCAAGGUGUGGCGAGAGGUUGCUCCCAUGAACGCUAGAAGAUGUUACGUUAGUGUGGCAGUUUUGAACGAUCUGGUCUACGCGAUGGGAGGAUAUGAUGGAUAUCAUCGGCAAAAAACGGCGGAGCGUUACGACUAUAAGACAAAUCAGUGGUCCCUCAUUGCACCUAUGAACGUGCAGAGAUCUGACGCCAGCGCAACUACUUUGAACGACAAAAUAUAUAUUACGGGCGGUUUCGACGGGCAUGAUUGUCUGAAUACAGCCGAGGUAUAUGAUCCAAACACCAAUCAGUGGACAAUGAUAACUGCAAUGAGGUCACGCAGGAGCGGCGUGUCGUGCAUAUCUUAUCACGGCUACGUUUAUGUUAUUGGUAUUAAGACAUGUACUUAUUGCGAAAGAAAUCCUGUCACGGAGGCUUCAACGGAAUAUCGAGAAUGUGCAGCGGGGAAAAAUAUAAGCCUUCUACGAACACGUGGAGUCAUAUUCCGGAUAUGUAUAAUCCGCGUAGCAACUUUGCCAUUGAAGUCAUUGACGAUAUGAUUUUUGCUAUCGGUGGAUUUAACGGUGUUACUACGACGUACCAAGUGGAAUGUUACGAUGAAAAAACGAACGAAUGGUAUGAAGCAACGGAUAUGAACAUAUGCAGAUCGGCAUUAUCGGCUUGCGUGAUCAUGGGUCUUCCAAACGUAUACGAUUAUAUACACAAGCAUCGCGAGCGAUUGAUGGAGGAGAAGCGUCAAAAACUACUGGCUCACGAAGUACGCCGGAGUCAGCAUCAACAACAGCAGGAACAGGAGCAAAUGAGACAAACUAUGCAGAUUACUCAAGCCAUACCAACACCACCAUCUCUACCACGAACAAGCGAGAACGAUAAUAAUAAUAAUAAUCGUUGGCGUUAAAGCCAAUAAUUAUUAUCAUUAAAUUGAAGAAGCCAUGCAAUACCUGUCUCAUUCAAUUCAUCCGCAAUGCAAAUUUUAGAUUAUUGCCAGUCGCGUAACCCGGAAUAACAAUCACAAAGAUAAAUUAGAGAAUCAAUGUCACUUGAUCAAUAUCAUCUGAUCAAAUUGUCAAUGAUAAUAACACAGAGACAACUGUUUAUAUAUACUUAUUAUUUAUAUUAUUCUUGUCUACUUCGCGAAAAGAAUAUUUUCAGACUGCCAUUUACUCAUCUUUGUUAAGUUAAAUCUUUUUUGAUACUGCAAAUAUUUUCUAUCGAAUCUUUUUGCGAUGCAAUUUUACGCAUAUUAUAUAAUGUCAUCUUGAAUAAUUGAAGCAAUUUAGAGGACGAACAGCCAUUUUUAUCGCAAAUACUAAUAAUAUUCCAUUGUUACACAUAAUAAUAUUAACACAGAUUGAAACAGCUGCAACGUACAUAUUAAAAAGACCGAAAACAUUGAAGGAAAACAAAUGAUAAAAUGAGGCGAGAAAUGCAGAAACAUAAAGAAAUAUAUCAACGUAAUCUGAUGAGACAUAAAAUAAUUUUGUAAUAGAAAACAUGACGAAUCGCCCAUCCAAACAAGUGUUCACAAAAUAAUUUCUUAAGUCCGACAUUUCAUGUGACAGCAAUGUUCUUUCUACAUGUGUAACAAAAAAUAAAAUUACAGUAACUUGUACAAAA